rnacentral:lncRNA from 1 species
UCGAACAUCACCAUCUGAGACAAAUAUAAGUGAAUCCAUUUAUUUAAUAACAAAAUUCAUUCAAGUCUUCAAUCUUGCCUUAAUAACAGAGGAUGAAUUAAUUUAGUAUCAAAGAUAAGAAAAUAAUGGCAAGUACCUUAACCCCCAAUGAUUCUUAUUACCAAACUUUCAUUAUACCGUGACCAAGAAAUACUCAAUCAAGUCAAGAAACAUUCAAUCAAGUCUUCAUUAUCUUAAAAUUCCACAAGCAAACAGUUAAAGACCAAAACCAUUAAAACUCCUUCAAAAACUCAUUUAAAAGAGAAAAGGAACUAUAAAUUCAAACACAUAUCCGGAUCAUUCGACCCUUUAAAUGAAUCCAUCGGAAAAGAACAAAGAAAAAAAAACGGUACACAUAGUGACAUGAAGCAAAUAGAGGGGGAGUUAACAAAUUCUUGUUAUCACCUUAAGUUUAAACCCAUCUCUUAAUUGCUCUUCUAAGCUCGAUUCACAAGAGGGGAAAAGAGGAAGGAGAAGAAAAUGAACAUGUUGAGUAAGUUCUUCCACUAUAUAAAAUUCAACAAAUACAGAGAUUUCGACUCCCAAAAUUUGAAACGAGACUUAACAACAGGAAACGGGCAGAACCGCGAUUCAAUAGCAACACUCGAACAAUGCCGAUGAACUCAAACUCACCUCGAACUCAGAUCAAAUCCACGAGGGAAGUUUAACUCAAAAACUAAGUGUAUUUUUCGGAUUUGAGAAGCAGAAACUGAUUUUUUUUCCUAUAAUUUUACGGAAAUGAACUAAAGAUUGAAUUAGACUCUUUUUUUUUUUGUAUUUUUGCUUUUCUGAAACUUAAACUCAGACUGAAGAUGAACCAAAUAAGAAGAAGAAGAAGAACUCCCUCUUAGAACCCUAAUUUUUUCACUUUUCUUCCUUUUUUUCUAAAAACCCCCCUCCUAUAAAUCAAACCCCCCAAAUAUAUACUCCAUCUCAAAACUUCUAUCCUUGUCAUCUAAGAAAACCCGAAAAUCCUCGAAAAACCUCCAAAAUUCGUUUUUCGACCAGUAAAAGACAAGUGGUGGGAGUAGAUUGAGUGAGACUCCAUCCUAUGCCCCCAUUAAUCCUAAUCUAGUCUUCAAAUGAAAUUCAGGUGAGAUGAGCGCGUGAGGGAGAGGCGGACUCAAUUUGUCAGAGUUUGUUAUGGAUUUGGCUGACGUGGAAGGAAUAUGAGGGGAUGAGACCAUGGUGGGUUCGUUUAUGGUGGGGUUUGGGUUGGGUUAGGGUGGAAGAAGGGUGUGAGGGAUAAGAGGAGUGCGGUUGGGGUCUUUGGGGUUAGGUUUAGGGUUUGGGGAAUAUUGUACUUUUAAAUGGAGUUAAGACAAAAGAUGGGCCGUUGGAUUUGGCAGAAUGGAAGUUUUAGAUUAAAGGAAGCAUGGGUCGGGUUCGAUGGAUAUUGGGGCAGGUUAGUGGGUUUGGAUAGGUCUGGGCGGGUUUGAAGGGGUUAUGGGAUUAGGCUGCCCAGAUUUUAGGCCUCAUGUUUGAAUAGGGCUCCGAAAUUUUACAAAAUUGGGCCAAAAGAAAGCUGAAAAUUCAAUUUAGAUAUCUACAAAAAAAUAUAAAAGCUCUUAAUUGAUUUUAAUAAACUAUAAAUAUUAAAAAUAAAAACUAAAAAUUAAAGUUGAAACUAUUUUUUGGUAUUUUCAAGGAUUAUAUUAGAAUAAAAAUAGGUUAAAAGUAAUAUAUCUUUCUAAAAAUACGUAAUACUGAAUUAAAUAUAAAAGUGAAACUAUUUUUUUGUAUUUUUUAAUUUUUGUACCUAAAAAUAGAAUUAAAUUUAAUAAUAGAGUGAAGUCCUAUAGAAAUAAAUUCAAAUAAAUAUCCUAAAAAUAAUAGGACUAUUAAAGGUAAUUCUAAUGUGUGGGUCAAAAAUUACAUGUCUACAACUGCUCCUCUUUGAUAGGAAGCACGAAGUGUUUCCAGACAAAUAACAACAAGACAUGUUUUUGACCUGACCUUUAUUUAGAGAGACAGAAACUAAAAGAAAAGAGAAUGUGACCGAGCCAUGGUGUCUGAGUUGCCUACAUAUCCUUGACUAUAAAGGAAUCACGUCAUGUGUAGUUCAUGAGUGAGGAGAGCGAUGGAGUAUACCGAGGUGGAGAGUCGAGUGAAGUGUCGUCGAGGUUCCGUUCCGCGGUUCCUGCCAUUACAUCAAAAAUAAAAGAAAAAAUUACAUUAAAAAUAAAAAAAAAAAUUACAGCAAAAUAAAAGAAAAAUACAAGAUCCAAUCUACUUCCUGUCUUGAAUCUUCUUUGAAUUUCUACUUGAUCUUUCAACAUGAAACUGAAGAAUGGACCUUGUUCUUCAGGCGGGCUCCUGAUGCUUCUCUAACUUGACCUUGGAAAUUAAAAUUAACCCUGUUCUUUAGGCGGGCUCCUGAUGCCUCUUGAAUUUGUGAAUUGAAAGUAACUCUGAAAUGAAUUCUCUUGUUCUCCAGGUGGGAGCCUGCUGCUGACUUGAAGUAGGUUUUCUCGUUCUUCAGGUGGGUUCCCGUAACCAACUUAAAACUUGAAAUAAAAUUUCCUCGUUCUCCAGGUGGGCGCCUGCGACUGUGUUUGAAACUUGAAAUGACUUCCCUCAUUCUCCAGGCGGGCGCCUGCAACUUGUUUGAAACUCGCAAUAAAUCUGAAAAGAAUUCCCUUGUUCUCCAGGUGGGCGCCUGUGACCGACUUGGAACUUGAACUGAAUUUCCCCAUUCUCCAAGCGGGCGCCUGCGACUUGCUUGAAACUUGAAAUGAAUUCCCUCAUUCUCUAGGUGGGCGCCUUCAACUUGGUUGAAACUUGAAAUGAAUUCUCUUAUUCUCCAAGUGGGCCCCUGUUGAUGACUUGAAACUUGAAAUGGCUUUGAAAAAAUUCCCUCGUUCUCCAGGUGGGUGCCUGCUGCUGACUUGAAACUUGAAAUGACUUUGAAAAGAAUUCCCUCGUUCUCCAGGUGGACGCCUGUGAUUAUAACAAAAUAGACAAACCAAGGAAAAUCUUUUGCCCCAGUUUGUACCAGGAACAUUUGUGAGUGUUAGUUAAUCUCAUUAUCCAAGAGGUCCUAAAAACUUAAAACUAAAUCCUUGAAAAUUUGAAAUUAAAUUUCAUUAUCCAGGAGGGUCCUGAAAAGCCGAGAAUGAACUUACCUGAGCCAUGCUCCCUUCUUGGAGGAUCCUGAACAAAAUUUCUUGCCCCUGAACCAUGAUUUCUUCAUGGGAGGGUCCUAACAAAUUGAACAAAUUUUCUUGCCCCUGUUUCAGAUAAACAAAAUCUUGUUAGUUUGAAAAUGUGGUGGUUUGUUUGUGGUAUCACUGCUGAGUGUCUGUUUCUGCCAUUGCCAUGCUUCAUUCUGAUUAGCUGCUUCAGGCCAGCAAGGAGUUUUUUAACCUUUUGAUUGAAACUGGACCACAAAAUCUCUGAAUGGCCUGAAUCUCUUACACUCACUUGUUACAUUGUGUUUUCGUUCUGAAAGUUGCUAAACUUUUGUAUUUUCUCAAAAUUCCAGAAUCAUCUUACCGCCUAAACUUCAGUUAUCACCAUACUGCUUAUUCUAAAUUAUGUCACUUGUGAUGUGCUUGGCUAAACUCCGCUUUGUGCAAUUUAAAAGCUGGUAGUAGGCUUUGGGAUCCUUUCUUGCUUGUUCAACAAGGGCUGACUCGAAAGAGACUCAUAAAGACAAACUCAAAGAGCACAGAGAAGUGAUUUUUGGCAAAAGGAUUGAAGGAAAAUUUUCAACAAAUAUGACUAUGUGAAGAAGAAUGGGAGAAAAAGAAUUAUCUGAGUGAGGCGUCUAGCUCUAAUGAUCAUGACAUGUAUUUCGGAUUGAUCAGCCUAAUCCGUUCAACCAAUCAUAUUUUCAGUUCAUGUCAUGCCUUAUACUUCAAAACCGGACUUUCAAUGAUCCAAUUUCUCUGAAAGUCACGAGUCUCAUUCGACUUGUAGUACCCCAAAGGGUUUUCAAUAGCAAGCCUCUCUCAUUUGUUCAUCUCUCAACUCACCAUCGCCUUACGGUGCCCAAGAGGGUUUUCACCAAUAAGACUCUCAUUUUAAAUUUUCUCUCAGCUCACCAUCGCCUUAUGGUGACCAAGAGGGUUUUCACCAAUAAGACUCUCUCAUUUUAUUCAUUUUUCCUUUGCGCCCAUGAACCAAUUUCUUUGAAAGAGGGUUUUCACUAGCAUGUAAAUCAUACCUCUAUCUCACUUGAUUUGGCAUCCUCAAAUAUUGAUCAGAAGGUCUUUCUUUGGACCAUAAUGUUAUCUUUUGGAUAAGACUAGAAAGAAAGGAUGACAUGAAGGCUUAAAGUCAUUUAAGAUGAAAAGGGUUCAAAAUUAUAACUUUUUGAAUCAGAUCUUUUGCAAAACCAAAACUUCUGCCCCAUUUGUUUUGGGUCUGGGGAAUUUUGGAUUUUUAUUUUGAGAGGACCGAACCAUGUAAGGCUGCCUACGUAUCCAUAAAAGGAAUCAGGUCGAACGUAGUUCAAACAAAAUGUUGGUUUAUUUUGUUGUUUUUCUUUCUUGUCUCUUUUUUUUUCUUCCUUUUUUUUCUCUCUUUCUUUUGUUCUUCUCUUUUUUCUUUUCUUCUUUUUCUCUUUUCUUUUUCUUCUUUUUCUCUUUUUAUUUUUAUUUUCUAGUUUCUAACUCUACUUCUGAUUCCAAAAGAGGGGUAUGGAACAAAAUAAAUUAAAGCUCAAAAGGGGUAGAAAAAGAUAAAAGUGUUUGGGUAGCAGAAUAAAAUGUUUUCGUCAUACCAAACUUCAAAAAUGUCAAGUACAAGCAUGCAAUUGAAGAUAAGCGAAAAAAUCAUAUGCAGUAUCUAUUGACUGCAUCAGAAUUGAUAGUCAUAUCUACACAUCUGCCUUCUAUGUCUGUUAAAUACAAAGCACUAUUGGGCAACACUCUUGUCACCAUGAACGGCCCCUACCAGUUUGGGGCGAACUUGCCUUUAGCUUCAGCCUGAUGUGGAAGGAUGCGUUUCAAUACCAUCUGGCCCACUUCGAAUUUCCGAGGACGCACCUUCUUGUUGUAUGCUCUUGCCAUUCUCGUCUGAUACAAUUCACCAUGACAUACUGCAGCCAAUAUUUUCUCAUCAAUCAAACCCAACUGCUCUAGCCGGGCUUUGACCCACUCAUCAUCAUCAAUUUUAGCUUCUGCAAUUAUCCGAAGUGAUGGAAUCUCAACUUCUACCGGUAUAACUGCCUCAGUUCCAUAUACAAGCAAAUAAGGAGUUGCACCUACUAAAGUACGAACAGUAGUGCGAUAACCCAAUAAGGCAAAAGGUAACUUUUCAUGUCAUUGCCUAGAACCUUGCACCAUCUUACGAAGUAUCUUCUUUAUAUUCUUGUUAACAGCCUCAAUAGCUCCAUUCGCCUUGGGACGGUACGGAGUGGAGUUUCGAUGCAUAAUUUUGAACUGUUGGCAUACCUCUUUCAUCAAAUGACUGUUGAGGUUGGCAGCAUUGUUUGUGAUAAUCACCUUAGGAAUUCUGAACUGACAAAUGAUAUUUGAAUGAACAAAAUCCACCACUGCUUUCUUGGUCACAGACUUGAAAGUUACAGCUUCGACCCACUUGGUAAAGUAAUCAAUGGCCACCAGAACAAACUUGUGCCUGUUUAAUGCUGCCGGUUCAAUUGGUCCAAUGAAUCCAUGCCCCAAGCAAAAAUAGCCAAGGUGUAGACACUGUAUACAACUCAGAUGGUGGGGAGUGAAUCAAAUCACCGUGCACCUGGCAUUGAUGACAUUUGCGAACAAAGCUGAUGCAAUCUCGUUCCAUGGUGAGCUAAUAAUAACCUGCUCGGAGUAUCUUCUUUGCCAAGACAUACCCAUUCAUAUGCAGACCACAAACUCCAGAAUGCACUUCGGCCAUGAUAGUUGAAGCUUCUGUAGCAUCUAUGUACCUCCGUAAUCCUAGAUCUAGAGUCUUCUGGUACAAGAUUACCCCACUUAAGAAAAAUCCACUAGCCAGACAUCGGAUGGUUCUCUUUUGAUCAUAUGUAGCAUGUACUGGAUAUACCCCCGACUUGAUGUAUUCCUUGAUAUCAUGGAACCAAGGUUCACCAUCGAUUUGCUCUUCAACCAUAUUAUAAUAAGCAUGUUGAUCAAGAACUUGGAUAAGCACGGGGUCGACAUAAGCCUUGUAUGGAUGAUGUAACAUUGACGCCAGAGUAGCCAAAGCAUCGGCAAUCUCAUUAUGAAUCCUGGGAAUAUGUCUGAAUUCUACCAACCUGAAUCGUUGACAAAGAUCAUGCAAGCACUGUCGGUAUGGUAUGAGCUUCAAAUCCCGAGUGUCCCAUUCUCCUUGAAUCUGGUAAACCAACAAAUUUGAAUCUCCUAGAACCAUUAUUUCCUGGACUCCCAUGUCUAUAGCUAAUUCAAACCCAGAAUGCAUGCUUUGCACUCAGCCAUGUUGUUGGUGCAAUAAAAUCAAAGUUGGGCUACUGCAGGGUAGUGUUGCCCUAUUUUAGAGAUGAGUACAACCCCUAUUCCGACACCCUUCAUGUUAGCAGCUCCAUCAAAGAAGAGUUUCCAACCUGGCUUUUCAUCAUGAUCGACCUCGUCAACAUACAUCACUUCUUCAUCAGGAAAAUAAGUUUUCAGUGGCUCAUAUUCUUCAUCCACCGGGCUCUCAGCCAAGUGGUCAACCAAGGCUUGGUAUUUCAUCGCGGUCCGAGUCACAUAGAUGAUGUCAAACUUUAUGAGUAGAAUCUGCCACUUUGCAAGUCUUCCUGUGGGCAUAGUCUUCUGAAAGAUAUACUUUAGAGGAUCCAUACGAGAAAUGAGGUAAGUAGUGUAGGACGAAAGAUAAUGCUUCAACUUUUGUUCCACCUAAGUCAGGGCGCAACAUGUCCUCUCAACAAAAGUGUACUUAACCUCAUAAGGAGUGAACUUCUUACUGAGAUAAUAGAUUGCUUGCUCCUUCUUCUCCGUGAUGUCAUGUUGACCCAAUACACAUCCAAAAGAGUUAUCCAGGACUAUCAAAUAGAGAAUUAAAGGUCUUCCAGGCUCUAGUGGGACCAACACAGGUGGGUUCGACAGGUACCUCUUAAUCUUAUCAACUGCUUCUUGACAUUCGUCAGUCCACUUAACUGCAUCAUUCUUCUUUAACAGCUUAAAGAUGGGCUCACAAGUUGUCGUGAGUUGGGCAAUAAACCUGCUGAUAUAAUUUAACCUUCCGAGCAAGCUCAUCACCUCUGUUUUGUUCUUGGACGGUGGUAGCUUUUGAAUGGAUUUGAUCUUCGAUGGAUCUAACUCAAUAUCGCAUCGACUGACCACGAAUCCCAACAGUUUCCCAGACGGGACACCAAAUGCACAUUUUGCUGGAUUGAGCUUGAGGUUAUACUUGCGGAGCCUUUGGAAAAACUUCCUCAAAUCCUUGACACGGUCAGACUGCUUCUUUGACUUUAUGAUCAUAUCAUCUACAUAAACCUCAAUCUCCUCGUGUAUCAUGUCAUGAAAUAUGGUAGUCAUCGCCCUCAUGUAAGUUGCCCCAGCAUUCUUCAAACCAAAUGGCAUUACCCGGUAGCAAUAUUUUCCCCAUGGCCUGAUGAACACUGUCUUUUCUGCAUCUUCCUCGUCCAUCAAGAUCUGGUGAUAUCCCCCGUAGCAAUCCACAAAAGACCCAAUCUCAUGCUUGACACAAUUAUCGAUCAGAAUGUGAAUGUUCGGCAAUGGAAAAUCAUCUUUUGGGCUCGCUUUGUUAAGAUUAUGGUAAUUAGCACAUACCCUGGUCUUACCAUACUUCUUUGGUACGGGCACAACAUUAGCUAACCGAGUGGGAUAUCGAGUGACCCGAAUGACCUUUGCAUCAAGCUACUUUGUGAUUUCUUCUUUGAUCUUCACACUCAUGUAAGUCUUGAACUUUCUUAACUUUUGCUUGACAUGAUGGAAUGCUGGAUCAGUUGGCAAUUUAUGAACUACCAAAUCAGUGCUCAAGCCCGGCAUAUCAUCAUACGACCAUGCAAAGACAUCUUUGUACUCAAGCAAUGUUUUGAUUAUUUUUUUCCUUAAUUUGCGGUUCAAGAUGCACACUUAUCUAGGUUUCCCUAACAUUAUCCUGGUCUCCUAAAUUGAUUGCUUCAGUUUCAUUCAAAUUAGGCUUUGGUGUUUCUUCAAAUUGUUUUAGCUCUUUACUGAUUUCCUCAAAUGCUGCUUCUUCAUCAUAUUCUAUUUCAUCAUCAUACUCUACUUACUUGAAUUAUUAUUUCAGAAUUAGAUUGGCUUUUAAGACUUGGUUGAAAAUUCCCCAUGCAUGUCAUGUCAUUGCAACCAGCAUAAAAAGAACUGUACAAAAGAAAAACAAAAUAAAACACUAUUAGGAAUAACGAAAAACGGGAAAUUGCAUUUUAUUAAAAAUAAAAGAAUAAAAGGGUUUGAACAUCCAAACAAGCAAAAACUAAAAAUCUGGAUUACGACCCUGGAAAAACCCAGAUAACAGAAAGGAAAACUAAGCAAACUACCAAAACUCCUUCCUGGUAGGGAGAGGAGUAGCUUCCCAAUUUCUAAGCUUAACAUUUGGCCCAAUGAAUUGCACAUCUGCUUUACUAGAACCUUCACCAACUUCUACCAUAGUAACCUCAUCGAACAGACUCUAGAACCUCUUGAUCGGCUCUUGAUCAACAUCGACCACAGGUUUUGGUACUGAUGAGGUUGUUGGUUUUUCGGCCCCUAGCUUGACAAAAGACUUAGAGAUGUGUGGGACAGGAUUAGGGAGAGACCACACCUUCUGUUUCAGAUUUUUAACCCUUUUUACUUCCUUCUCUGUGGGCAUGAAUCCCAAACUAAAUGUACCAAGAUUUCCACCGGGGAAUACUGGAUGCACAAUACCCUGCAUAGAUGAGCCCAGACCCUUGUCCGACACAAAAUCAUUCUUCAACAUUUCAUUUGCUACCAUGACCGACGCGGAGGGUAACUUAGGACCUGGAAUGCAUUUUCCUUCAGGAAUCUUCUCAACAAACACUGUUUUAAAAGUUUGAUAGACCCAAGGUCCCUUAAUAUUUUCAGCCUCAAUAAACGGAACAAUUGUGUCAUUACAAGUUGAUAAGUCCUCAUCACCGUGCAUAACUAUUUCCUGCCGGUCCCAUUCGAAAUUCACCAUUUGAUGUAGAGAUGAUGGGACUGCCUUAGCAGCAUGUAUCCAGGGCCUGCCCAACAACAGAUUAUAGGAGACGGCUACAUCUAGCACUUGGAACUCCAUAGUGAAUUCAAUUGGCCCUAUUGUCAGUUCGAGCAUUAUAUCGCCAAUAGAAUCCUUUCCCCCUCCGUCAAAACCUCGAACACAUAUAUUGUUCCUGUGGAUCCUUUCUGUACCGAUUUUCAAAUUUUGCAGAGUGGAGAGUGGGCUAUUUGUGCUGGAACUGUUAUCAACCAAUACCCUCGAGAUCACCGAAUCCUCGCACUUCACUGUGAGAUAAAGAGCUCGGUUGUGUUCUGCACCCUCCAGAGGAAGUUGUCAUCCGAGAAAGUGAUCUUGUUUGCUUCAAAGAUCUUGUUAGCAAUCUUCUCCAAAUGGUUCGCCGUGAUCUUAUCAGGAAUAUGGGCCUCAUUCAAAAUCUUCAUGAGGGCCCCGCGGUGUUCAUCUGAAUGUAUCAGCAAAGAUAAAAGAGAAAUCUGAGCUGGUGUUUUCCUUAAUUACUCCACAAUGGAAUAGUCCUGCACCUUCAUUUUUCUCAAUAACUCUUUCGCCUCUUCUUCGGUGACUGGCUUCUUAACUGGAAUCUGGAUAUCUUUGAACGUCUUGGCUUUCCUCAACUUUUUUGGUGUAAAGCAUCUCCCGGAACGAGUCAAUCAUCUAGUUUCAUUAACUUCUUCCUCUACCUCUUUCCCUUUAUAUGUUACUAUCACUUACUUGUAGUUCCACGGAACAGCUUUGGUAUCAACUACUGGCAACUGGGUUACUAGUUUAAUGACAACAGGGGUAAUAGGAGCCCCUUUUACAACUAUGACAGGCUUACUCGGGACCCCUGGCACUACCACUUUUGGACUUUCCUAGCUUGCCCCAAUAUCCUGCGAAAGCCCUUUCAUAACCAACACCGGUGGCUUCAAAUUAAACGAGCUCAAUUUCUCUGUCACCUUCUCCAAUGUCAGGGACAUUUCUUUGGUAGAGUCUAGAGCCUUGACCAAAUUACUUUCACUGGCCUGAAUCAUCAUCAUGGACUUUGAAGACUUUUCGGGCUCCCCAUCCUUAUGAACUGCUUCAAUCAUAUGCAUCUCUGCAUGGGCUGGCAAAGGGUUUUGGUUGAUGUUCGGCGUGUUUGGGAUUUGGACUACAAUUUGGUUUGUAUUAAUAAGCUCUUGGAUUGCCCUUUUCAAAUGCCAGCACUUCUCUAUGUCAUGCCUUGGAGCAUCAGAACAAAGGCGCAUAUGAGGGAAUAAUCGAGGUUCUUUGGAGGGGGAUUUAGUAUCUUUGACUCAAUUGGCCUCAAGACGUCCAACUACCUUAACCUUUGAAAUAGACUAGCAUAGGACUCCCCAAGUGGGGUAAAAGUUUGUUUCCGUUGCUGCCUUUAUCUUUUAUACUCUAGCCUUGGUCGAAAAUUCAGACCAGUGAGGUUUCGGAAAGGUUGUGGAGGUGGAUAAGUAUUUUAUAGAGUUAGAGCACACCAUUGCGGGUAAGGAGGGGUUUGUGUAUAUGACUGUGCGUGGUGAACAUGGUAUUGGGGUGGUCUGGUUGAGUACUGGGGGUCCGAUGGUGGGAAAUACUGCUGGGGUGGAUUAUAUAGAGCUUGGAUGUAGGCUGCAGGUCGAGGUCGAGGUUGGUUAUAUUGAUGAGGUGAACCCCUCUGGCCAUGCCAUGGUCCGGAGACAACCAUAGCGACAUCUUCCUUCUUUUUCUUUCCUAGCAGACUGCGGUACCGCUCUGGACAGAGGCAGAUCUAGGAUUUUAGAUCUAUGGUUCACCAUUUAAAGUUAUGGGUUCAUAUCUACUAUUUAUUGCAAUUUUACUGAUUUUUUAUACAUAAAUUUAUGCUCCCCGUUAAAAGUACUGGGUUCAGUUGAACCCGGUGGUUCUACACUGCAUCCGCCACUGGCUCUGGAUUGCUUGUGUGGUCAUUUUUAUAGCAGAGUAGCUCAUGAUCUUGCUCGGCUUGAGCCCCUCUUCCACCAUUUCUCCCAUCUUUACCAUGUCAUUAAAAGGCUUACCAAUGGUAAAGAUCAAAUGGCCAAAGUAAGUAGGCUCUAGGGCUUGAAGAAAGUAUUCAACCAUCUCAUCUUCCUCCAUUGGAGGAUUGACUCGUGCAGCUUGCUCCCUCCGUUGGAACCCAUAUUCUCUAAAGCUUUCGCUGUGCCUCUUUUCCACCUUUGUCAGAGAUAGGCGAUCUGGGACAAUGUCUAUAUUGUACUGAAUAUGCCGGGAAAAGGCCUGAGCCAUAUCAUCCCAUGUGUACCACCUGCUGGCAUCCUGGCGGGUGUACCAUUCUAAAGCUGCCCCACUCAGACUCUGGCUGAAGUACGCCAUCAGUAAUUCGUCUUUCCCCCGCCGCCUCUCAUUUUGCUACAAUAACCUCUCAGAUGAGCUACAAGAUCCCCAUGUCCGUCAUACAAGUCAAACUUGGGCAUCUUGAACCCGGCAAGCAGUUGGACAUCAGGGAACAAACACAAAUCCUUAUAAGUCACAUUCACCUGGCUUCUUAACCCUUGCAUAUUUCUUAAUGAUUUCUCCAAACUCUUUACUUUCCUAAAUAUCUCUUCUUGCUCCGUGUUCUUUGGUGAUUUCUCAGUUUCUACAUGAGGCUCAAAGUGAAGAGUGUAAGAGUAAGGAUCUGUGCCUUUAAAGGUAGGUUCGAGGGCAUAGUAUUGGGUAUCUGGAGCUUGGAAUGCGGGCUCACUAGAGGAUCGAUGGAGGGUAGCUUGUAGAGGGGGUACAAAAAUGGGAGCAGAUGUUGGAGCAGGGUAUGAGGUUGUUUUGGCGGGUGGAGCAGGAAAAUUUGGGCCGAAGUGCCAGGGUAGGAGUGGUAAGGGGUGAAGCCAGGUGUGUGUUGUAGGGAAAGAUCAACUGUACUUGGCAUCUAGGCUUGGGACAGUGGUGGAAUGGAAGCAGGGUUUUCUGCAUAGUUGGUAGGGAAUGAGGGUGUCCCUUAAUCCAGGCCUGAUACAUUUUCGCCAUUUGAUUCUUCAACCUUCGGACCUCCUCUUUCGGUUCCGACUCUGAUUCUACAAUCUCCCUUGGAGGGUCUACAACUCAUGUGUCUAUUUCUUUGCUAGUCAUGACUAUCUAACGCUUUGACCUGGUGUUGUAUCGAUGACUUGAAGGGAUGCCAACAAACUAACCACCUUACGUGCUAUGCACCUAGCAACAAUUAGCGGUUCUAAAAUGGCUUUGAGGGUCGCAGGGCCAUAUGGCAUCAUCCCAAUUUGCCCAUUUCAAUCCUUCAUUCUCUUUCUUUUCUAGCACCUCUUAUCAUUUUCUUCCCACUUUUCUCUCAUUUUUUUCUUUUUUUGGCUUAUCACUCUCUUCUUUUCUUUUGAAGAUGAUUCGAUCGAACUCGAUAUAGGUUGCCCACAUAUCAUGUCCCUCAUGAAUCAGACCAAACGUAGUUCUGGAAAAGUGAUAGAAAAUAAACUAAAAAUAAAAAAUCUUUUUUGGAUUUUUGAUUUAAAAUUUUUCGGUUUACAAAAUGGGAAGUACGAGAAUGAAAUACUAAUAGACUCCACUACACUACGACAAACUCUAACACUACCUUCAAGACUCAGUACUAUAAGACUAGAAGAUAACGACAACAUAAACAGACUCAAAACACAUAAAAGACUCCUCAAGUAGCUCCUGGAUAUGAUGCCCCUGGCUGGGAUGGUCCUGGGUUGUCCGUCAUGCUCAAACUCUGUAACAUGCCUCGUAAAGAAACAUCGAUGCUGGGAAUAAAGACCCUGGCAUGUGCCCCCGCCUCCUGAAGGUCGACCCUAAACAAAUACUGGCCAUGCUGCUCCAUGUUUGCUGCAAUUCGCGCUAACUGAGACUUUAUCAACUCAAGCUUACCCCAAGGAUCCUGAUCCGAAGCCUCAUCAAAAUCAUCUAUCUGAACUGCCCGACCCCUAAGCUGUGCUGGCAAUGGGGUGCUGACCCUUGGUGGGACGGACUGUAACCAAAUCAAAUACUCCUGAGUACACUCGGUUCUGCCAAUGUCCUCUAUUAAUGUAUUUUUCUUCAUCCUCUUGCAUUAUUCCAGUAUUGCACGUACUUGAUUUCGUCAACCACCUUUCUGCUAAAAUUCAUGAUGUGCCUCCGAAGAUUUAGAGUUGGCGGCUCCUCUUGUCUCCUGCCCAACUGUCGCAUCACCCUAAUGGGGGGGAGGUGUACAGCCUAACACACUUAAAUCCUAUCAAUACCAAGAAAGGCUGCAUGCAACAUCCUACCAAGAUCUCAUCUAAAGGUAGCCAAAGGUAAGCCCACAAAACAUUCCCAUUUGUCCUUAAGCCAAGGAACUCAACCCAAGCUAUGACGCCUACUGGGUAUGUAAACUUAGGAGAUUUCAUCCUACGCUCAAUGCAUACCACUCGAUCCCUUAAGGCACGGUCGAUGGGACAAAGUAAGGAAGCGGUGUGUAAAUGAUCCAUCAUCCACAAUUGCAGCAAAAGGUUACUUCUCUCAAAAUACCUGAUACCACCCCUAACCUCACUCAUGGCUCGAUACAACUCUGCUAAGAUCAUCGGCACAACGGUAACGAUUUUGCGUUGCUUCUCAUGAAAUAGUGUCAUUACCACUUAUUGCAGACGGGUGCUAAUAUGCCUCUUAUCCAUAGGAAACACCAAUAAUCCCAACAAAGCAAGGUUGAAAGCUUUGAGGCGACGUCUUUGCCAUUUUGCCUUGGUUGUGCAAAACUCAUCCCAAAAAACGUCAAAACUAUCUUGUGGUCCAAAUCUAGCAAACAAAUAAUCCAAGGAUAUCCAUGACUGCUCGAGGUAUCCUAAAUGCUUGUUGUCUUUCAGGCCCAGGUCGCUAAGGAAUCUUGACCUAGAGUGAUCUCGGGGGAGUAUCAUGUCUUUGCCUAUAUAGUUUAAACGAGUAAGACCAGACAUUUCUGCCAAGGUAGGAGUCAUCUCACAUUCUCCAAAUCUGAAAACCAAAUUUUGCGGAUCCUAAUAGGUCAACAUCGCCUCCACUAAGUCUGGGCAAGGUGUGAUAUCAAGAAGUGAGGUGAGGGUACCCAAUUUCUCCAUUAGCUCAUGUUGCUCUAACAGUGAAAAUAUUUUCCACCAUUUGACCAACUUCCUAGGAAUCUUUACUACCAUCAACACUUUGGAUCGAAUCAGCGGGUCCAUACCUGAAUGAAGAGAACAUGGUUAGCGACUCGGGACACUACGUGACACCACAACACUUCCAAGUGGACAGAUGCAAGACACGAUUGGGCUAUUUUUACAAAUUGGCCUAAGUGGCAGAGGGUGGCUAUUAGUGCAAACUCGACAAAGUUGACCCCUAAUGCAUGAAAAAUACCCCAUUUACGGCUUACACCACUUCAAAAUCCCAACAAUCAUGGCCUUAAAAAUUACUUUGCGAAAAUGACCAUUUUGCAAAAAUGGCCGAUAUGGCCGAAUGUGGCUAGGGACGCAAAUACCACAAGGACGGGACUUAAAGGAAUGGACACUUAGUUGUGUUCUAAAAUUCUAAGACACGGGUCACUGAACCAUUUUUGCAAAACUGACCACAUUUUGCAAGAAUGGCCGAUGUAGCCAAAAGUGGCUAGACAUGCAAAUUCAAUAGGAAUGGACCUUAAAACUGAAAGGACACCUUGUUGUAGACACAAGACUCUAAGAUAUGGGAUAACAAAAUAUUUUGAGCGAAUAGCCCUAUUCUGCAAAAAACGGCCGAUGUGGCCAAAUGUGGCUAAACAUGCAAGAAUUGGCUAAGACCUCGCGAAGACAAGAACCUAAGACUCACUAGGAAGAUCGGACCCUAUGUGGGCUGCUUACGUAUCCCGCCCCGAAAGACGAGAAUCAGGUAUGCGUAGUUCGGGCAGAUUGGAUACGAGAGAGAAUUAAAAAACACUAAUUUAAAGAAAACAUAUUUUUUGUAUUUUUUUUAAAAAAAUGAUGAAACAUGUAAAAAAUCUUUUGGAUUCUCUUUUUUCAUAUUUUUUGAAAAAUAAUGGAAAAGUGCAAAAUCUUUUUGAAUUUUUCAUUUUUAUUUUUUUGUCUUUUUCUUGAAAAGGUUGUGAAAGACAAUUGUAACUGGGCCCUACUUGCUUAAUUUUUGUACUUCACCCUCUUUUCCAAACAUCAGUCUGUCAAAUAACCUUUCUACCCUCAAAUAUGCAACAUGUAUCACAUAGGGACGAUUGAAUAUUUUUUUGGGCCACGAGCCCAUUUUGACAAAAUUUGAAUAGGCCUCCUAUAAAGGGACACGAUACCUGGGACCGAGCCCUGCUAGGUCUAAAUGACAUGAUGCAAAUAAAAAUGAUCUAAAGGCAGACCUAAGUUUGGGGUUCACUAACAAGGCAAAUCGGGGGAGCGUAUGGUCGAUGGUGGCUGCUCAAGCUUUCCACCCACCACAUACGUCUGACGCCCCCUCCUAAAAUAAGGGUGACUCGACAAAGAGUUCGUGCACGCUACGCAUACUCCGAGACUUGUUGCAGAAAGAAGACUCAUAGUUAUGCAAAUGAUGACAGUUAUAAAGCGGUAAACACAUAAGGAAAAGCGAUAAACAAAUAACCAACAAAAUAGAAAAUACGACAAACAAAAUAAACAAACCAAAUAAAGAAAACAAACAUCUCAACCGAAUAUCCUAAAAGCCAACAAGAUCAAGUACUAGCUCGAACUUGCAAGUCCCAGCAGAGUCGUCAGAGCUGUCACACCCUUUUUUUUACCAACUUCACUAACCCUCUUUAAAUAAUACUCCCUCUGUUUCAAUUUAUGUGAACACAUUUGACUAGGCACGAAGUUUAAGAAAAGAGAGAAGAUUUUUGAUCUUGUGAUAUAAAAUGAGGCACAUAUAUUUUGUAUAGCUAUAAAUCAUUCUGUAAAGGUAAAAUAUUUCUAAAUAAGGAAAUGGGUCAUUCUUUUUGGCACGAACAAAAAAGGAAAUAGGUUCACAUAAAUUGAAACGGAGGGAGUAAAAAAAGAUUUGUAAAGCUCCAAAGGUUUUCCAAUUCGAAAGUGACAAAAUAUUUGUUUUAAAAGGGAAUAACUCUGAGUCGCCACCUGACAUUGGUUUUAGUGUGCCAGAUCACCGUUUUUUUUUUAAAUGAUUUUCCUUUUAAAACACUUUGGACUCUAAAUUAAGUCUGCACCAGAGAUUCGGGUAAAGGGGUUUAUAUGACUCGGAAGAAGGUGUUAGGCAUUCCCCAAGUCCCGUAACUAGUGCGGUUGCUUACUUGAUCUAGUCGACUUUUAAAAUAUUCAAGUUGAGGUAAAAUCACAGAAAAGGAAAAUAAACACACACGAGGCUCGAGGUCGUCCCCAUCUAAUAAAAGAAAAAUAAAAAUACUACGAGUUCUAUUAUCGAUCUCCAAAUACAAAUACUUCGAGGCAUACCCCAGAAUAAAAUAUAUACAAAUCCUUCGGGGCAUUCUCCGGAUAAAUUUAACUAAGGGGGACCUCUCACCUCAAAAGAAACUAAAACACGAGCUUCCUAAAGGCUUGUCUACCCAAAUAUGGUCGGCCUAAGCAUGCUCCUAACGAAUACUAUGACAAAUAAAGAAAAUAAAAGAGGACUAAAUAAAAGAACAGUCUAAUUCAUGCUCAUUUUUUUAGCUUUUUAUUUUUAUUAGGUCGAGCUCGAUACAUAAAGCAUGCAAAUAGAUUUAAUCGCUAAUGGGCUUUGGCCUUGCCCCCACUCCCAUGGACUAAUGCAUUCGUCAUUUAAAAUAUCCCAGCAUGCAAAUGUAAAAUAGUCAUCCAAACAAAUAGGCACUCAAAUCAUUGAAGGAAAAUCAAACAGGGAACCAAAUAAAAUAAUAUAAGACUAAAUGACGAACAAGUAAAAGGAAGUGAAUCAAAGCCUUUGGAAGAGCCAUUAAGAGAUGUUACCACUACCCAAUUCUCUACUAAAUUCUCAUACCCCAAAUAUCACACAACUCAAAUCCCCCUUUGGAUAUUACAAAUAUAUGCCAAACCGUUCAAGUGAAACAAUGAGACUAUCUAAUGAAUUAAUUAACACACGAGGGUCGUUGAAUGAAAAUGUGAUUUAAAAGCAUCAGAUAUACCACAAACUUAACAAAGUAAAACUCACUUUAACCAUGAUCAAUCAAGAGAACAUUUCUUGAGUAGCUAAGCACAUUAUCAAAACUUUUUAAACUAUUAGUACUAGUGAUAAAAUGAUGAAAACAGAUUUUAGAGCCAGGCAACUUUCCUUCACAGCAUAUAACCUUUAACAUGAAGAUCACUCCAACAUUUAGAAUUAAGUAACACAUGGUCAGAUUGCGCUUAAAAUGUUGUCAGACUAAUCAAUCACACCUAGAGCUCCAUAGAAGCGCACAAGAAAUAUUUGAUGGGCAAAAUCUCGCCCACAUGCCAAAUCUCGAAAGAAAGAAAACUAAAUUAGACCAAAUAUGAGUUGAAAAACUUGUUGUAAUAAUUUACUACUCGAACAUCACCAUCUGAGACAAAAAUAAGUGAAUCCAUUUAUUUAAUAACAAAAUUCAUUCAAGGCUUCAAUCUUGCCUUAAUAACAGAGGAUGAAUUAAUUUAGUAUCAAAGAUAAGAAAAUGAUGGCAAGUACCUUAGCCCCAAUGAUUCUUAUUACCAAACUUUCAUUAUACCGUGACUAAAUAAUACUCAAUCAAGUCAAGAAACAAUCAAUCAAGUCUUCAUUAUCUUAAAAUCCCACAAGCAAACAGUUAAAGUCAAAAACCAUUAAAACUCCUUCAAAAAUUCAUUUAAAAGAGAAAAGGAACUAUAAAUUCAAACACAUAUCCGGAUCAUUCGACCCUUUAAACGAAUCCAUCGGAAAAGAACAAAGAGGAAAAAAAUGGUACAUAUAAUGACAUGAAGCAAAUAGAGGGGUAGUUAACAAAUUCUUGUUAUCACCUUAAGUUUAAACCCAUCUCUUAAUGGCUCUUCUAAGCUCGAUUCACAAGAGAGAUAAAGAGGAAGGAGAAGAAAUAGAACAUGUUGAGUAAGUUCUUCUACUAUAUGAAAAUUCAACAAAUAUAGAGAUUUCGACUCCCAAAUUUGAAAAGAGACUUAGCAACAGGAAACGGGCGGAACCGCGGAUCAGUAGCAAAACUCGAACAGCGCCGAUGAACCCGAAGUCACCUCGAACUCAGAUAAAAUCCAUGAGAAAAGGUCAACUCAAAAACUAAGUGUAUUUUUCGGAUUUUAGAAGUAGAAGCUGAUUUUCUUUUCCUGUAAUUUUAAGAAAAUAAACUAAAGAUUGAAUUAGACUCUUUUUUUUUGUAUAUUUGCUUUUCUGGAACUUAAACUCAGACUGAAGAUGAACCAAAUGAGAAGAAGAAGAAGAAGAAGAAGAAGAAGAAGAAGAAGAAUAAGAAGAACUCCCCCUUAGAGCCCUAAUUUUUUCACUUUUCUUCCUCUUUUUUUCUAAAAAUACCCCCCCCCCCCCACCCUAUAAAUCCCCAAACCCCCCCCCCCCCCCCCAAAUAUAUACUCCAUCUCGAAACUUCUAUCCUUGUCCUCCAAGAAAACCCGAAAAUCCUCUAAAAACCUCCAAAAUUUGAUUUUUCGACCGGUAAAGGACAACUGGAGGGAGUAGAUUGAGUGAGACUCAAUCCUACGCCCCCCAUUAAUUCUAAUCUAGUCUUUAAAUGAAAUUCGGGUGAGAUGAGCGCGUGAGGGAGAGGCGGGCUCAAUUUGUCAUAGUUUGUUAUGGAUUCGGCUGACAUGGAAGGAAUAUGAGGGGAGGGGACCAUGGAGGGUUCGUUUAUUGUGCGGUUUGGGUUGGUUUAGGGUGGCAGAAGGGUGUGAGGGAGAAGAGGGGUGCGGCUAGGGUCUUUAGGAUUAGGUUUAGGGUUUGGGGAAUAUUAGACUUUUAAAUGGAGAUAAGAUAAAAGAUGGGCCAUUGGAUUUAGCGGAAUGGAAGGCUGAGAUUAAAGGAAGCAUGGGUCGGAUUCGAUGGGUAUUGGGGCGGGUUAGUGGGUUUGGACAAGUUUGGUUUGAAGGGGUUAUGGGAUUGGGCUGCCCAGAUUUUGGGCCUCAUGUUUGAAUUGGGCUCCGAAAUUUUACAAAAUUGGGCCAAAAGAAAACUGAAAAUUCAAUUUAAAUACCUAUAAAAAAUAUAAAAACUCUUAAUUGAUUUUGGUAAACUAUUAAUAUUAAAAAUAAAAACUAAAAAUUAAAGUUGAAACUAUUUUUGGUAUUUUCAAGGAUUAUACUCCCUCUGUUUCAAUUUAUGUAAACCUAUUUCCUUUUUGGUCUGUGCCAAAAAGAAUGACUCAUUUCCUUAUUUGGAAACAAUUUACCUUUAUGUAAUGAUUUAUAGCCACACAAAAUAUACGUGCCUCAUUUUACACCACAAGUUGAAAAGUCUUCUCUCUUUUUUUAAACUCCGUACCUAGUCAAAUGGGUUCACAUAAAUUGAAACGGAGGGAGUAUUAGAAUAAAAAUAGGUUAAAAGUAAUAUGUCUUUCUAAAAAUACCUAAUACUGAAUUAAAUAGAAAAGUGAAACUAUUUUUUUUAUAUUUUUCAAUUUUUGUGCCUAAAAAUAAAAUUAAAUUUAAUAGUAGAGUGAAGUCCUAUAGAAAUAAAUUUAAAUAAAUAUCCUAAAAAUAAUGGGUCUAUUAAAGGUAAUUCUAAUGCGUGGGUCAAAAAUUACAUGUCCACAAGUAUAAUUCAAAGUAUUUCUCACAGCAUCAUAUCCAUCAUCUGGGUUUAUUACAAUCAAACUCUGGAAAUAUUAAUUCUGCUUUUGGGCCUCUAAAUGAGCCCAAAGUAUUGACUGGUGUCAGGGAGUUCGAUUGGAUGUGGGGCUACAUAAUGGGAUGGAUACUGAGCUGUGUAAAAGAGUUGUUCAUAAUGGCUUGGUAAGCAAGAGGAGGUAAAAAGGUGCGGCUCACGGGUAUUUGUGUAGUGGUCGGGUUACUCUGCACGACAUAAAUGGGUAAGCCUAUGUUGUGAACAGAGUGUGGCAAAGCAAUAGGUACAGAUGAAAAAUUGGUUGUCAUUGUCGGAUGGGUAAGUGACAAAGAGUCGCUGGAUAUAGGGAUGGACCAGUGUUAUAAGGUAAUGAAGCAAGAUGCGAAGAAAUGGGUAAGGUAGUUGUAUUACUGCUAGGAUUGAAGGGAGCUGCAGAAAAAGACAUACCCCUACUUGUUUGUAGAAAAAUUGGUGUCACCGGAGAAGUAAUGAGUCUGCUCGUAACACCCACUGAAGAAUCGCCCCUUUCUAAUGAAGAACCUCAUAUAACCGAUGCAGCCACCGAUCUCCCCGAAAUCGUCGAAUCAAUCCUUUGUUCUGACUCAAAAUGGCUCAGCAACAUAUCGAGCCUGCGAUUGUUUUCUUCCUACCUUUGCAUGUCCUCAGCAUUCAAACGAGCUUGACUUUUUUCAAGCAUUUCCAUUCUUCUUCUCGACUCACCAAUAUAUGUUUGAAGUUGUUCAUCGAUUCUGCGCCAACCAUCGUCGGGAGCUUUUUCUUUUUGUGAUUCGACCAUUGUUACCACAGUUCGCCGGAAAAGCCUGGCUCUAGAUACCACUUGUAGCGUUACAGCUACAGAGAAUAGAAAAGGAAUUGUAAGAAAUUGAACAAGAAGGAAAAAUUAAAUAAGCUUUAUCAUUUCUCCGAUGAUAGUUAAACUGACGAGGCAAGGAUAUAUACUAUGAUAACUACAGCUGUGACUAAAUUCCCUUCCAAUGAGAAACCAACAGCUAUUGUACCGCACCCUCUAACGGC